GNNAGNAGACAACAGGGAUUGCCCUAGUAACGGCGAGUGAAGCGGCAACAGCUCAAAUUUGAAAUCUGGCUCUUUUAGGGUCCGAGUUGUAAUUUGCAGAGGGCGCUUUGGCUUUGGCAGCGGUCCAAGUUCCUUGGAACAGGACGUCACAGAGGGUGAGAAUCCCGUACGUGGUCGCUAGCUAUUGCCGUGUAAAGCCCCUUCGACGAGUCGAGUUGUUUGGGAAUGCAGCUCUAAAUGGGAGGUAAAUUUCUUCUAAAGCUAAAUAUUGGCCAGAGACCGAUAGCGCACAAGUAGAGUGAUCGAAAGAUGAAAAGCACUUUGGAAAGAGAGUCAAACAGCACGUGAAAUUGUUGAAAGGGAAGCGCUUGCAGCCAGACUUGCUUGCAGUUGCUCAUCCGGGCUUUUGCCCGGUGCACUCUUCUGUAGGCAGGCCAGCAUCAGUUUGGGCGGUGGGAUAAAGGUCUCUGACACGUUCCUUCCUUCGGGUUGGCCAUAUAGGGGAGACGUCAUACCACCAGCCUGGACUGAGGUCCGCGCAUCUGCUAGGAUGCUGGCGUAAUGGCUGUAAGCGGCCCGUCUUGAAACACGGACCAAGGAGUCUAACAUCUAUGCG
rnacentral:rRNA from 1 species